rnacentral:rRNA from 1 species
UACGGAGGGUGCAAACGUUGCUCGGAAUUAUUGGGCGUAAAGCGCACGUAGGCGGCCGACUAAGUCGGGUGUGAAAGCCCUGGGCUCAACCCAGGAAGUGCACUCGAAACUGACCGGCUUGAAUAUGGAAGAGGGUCGCGGAAUUCCCGGUGUAGAGGUGAAAUUCGUAGAUAUCGGGAGGAACACCAGUGGCGAAGGCGGCGCCUGGGCCAAAUAUUUGACGCUGAGGUGCGAAAGCGUGGGGGAGCAAACAGG